rnacentral:rRNA from 1 species
GGAAUAUUGGACAAUGGGGGAAACCCUGAUCCAGCGACGCCGCGUGAGUGAAGAAGUAUUUCGGUAUGUAAAGCUCUAUCAGCAGGGAAGAUAAUGACGGUACCUGACUAAGAAGCCCCGGCUAACUACGUGCCAGCAGCCGCGGUAAUACGUAGGGGGCAAGCGUUAUCCGGAUUUACUGGGUGUAAAGGGAGCGUAGACGGAAUGGCAAGUCUGAUGUGAGAGGCCGGGGCUCAACCCCGGGACUGCAUUGGAAACUGUCAGGCUAGAGUGCAGGAGGGGUAAGCGGAAUUCCUAGUGUAGCGGUGAAAUGCGUAGAUAUUAGGAGGAACACCGGUGGCGAAGGCGGCUUACUGGACUGUAACUGACGUUGAGGCUCGAAAGCGUGGGGAGCAAACA